rnacentral:rRNA from 1 species
GACGUAGGGCGCGAGCGUUGUCCGGAUUUAUUGGGCGUAAAGAGCUCGUAGGCGGCUUGUUGCGUCAGCUGUGAAAACCCGCAGCUCAACUGUGGGCGUGCGGGCGAUACGGGCAGACUAGAGUACUGCAGGGGAGACUGGAAUUCCUGGUGUAGCGGUGGAAUGCGCAGAUAUCAGGAGGAACACCGGUGGCGAAGGCGGGUCUCUGGGCCGAUACUGACGCUGAGGAGCGAAAGCGUGGGGAGCGAACAGG